rnacentral:rRNA from 1 species
AUGGAUCUGGUGAACGGCGUGCUCAACUGGGCGGCGAUGCCCGCCAUGGUCACCACCCUCCUGCUCCUCUACCCGCCCUACUACCUCUUCAAGCUCUGCUACUCCUUCCUCUCCUACCUCUUCCCCGACGACCUCAAGCGCAAGGUCGUCCUCAUCACCGGCGCCUCCUCCGGCAUCGGCGAGCAACUGGCCUACCAGUACGCCACCAAGGGGGCAUGCCUCGCCCUGGUCGCCAGGAGGGAGUGGAGCCUCCGGCAAGUCGCCGACCGCGCCUUCGAGCUCGGCGCGCCGGAUGUCAUCAUUCUCCCCGGCGACGUCGCAGACCCCGACGACUGCAACAGAUUCGUUCAGGCCGCGGUCGACCACUUCGGCCGAUUGGACCAUCUUGUGUGCAACGCUGGCAUUGCAAGCGUAGGCGCUUUUCAGGAGAUUCCCGAUGUCACUAACUACAGCUCUCAGCUUGAUGUGAACUUCUGGGGCGCAGUUCAGUCCACUUUUGCUGCUCUACCUCAUCUUAAAAGGACCCGAGGGAGGAUCGUGGUCACCGCCUCCGCAACCGGAUGGAACCCCGUUCCGUGCAUGGUUUUCUAUAAUGCUGCCAAUGCCGCACUGAUUAACUUCUUCGAGACGCUGCGGUCGGAGCUUGGCAGUGAAGUUGGCAUCACGAUAGUGACGCCCGGGUGGAUCGAGUCCGAGAUGUCCAAAGGAAAGUUUCUGAAGGAGGACGGCGGCGUGGAGGUUGAUCAAGAAUAUCGAGAUGCUCAAAUCGGCCUCUUCCCAGUGGAGUACGCCAAGAAGUGCGCGAGGGCCAUGGUGCAGGCAGCUCGCCAAGGCGACCGCUACCUCACCGUGCCGUCCUGGUUCGGAACAAUGUACCUGUGGAGGGUGUUUGCGCCGGAGGUCGUCGAGUUCUGCUACCGCCUCCUGUACAUGCACGGCCAUGGUGGCGGCGACCAGACCGAUGCGCCGAGCAAGACGAUGGCCCAGGGUGGCACCCCUCCUCGCUGA